rnacentral:rRNA from 1 species
GAUGAACGCUGGCGGUGUGCCUAAUACAUGCAAGUCGAGCGACCGGACGAGAAGCUUUCUUCUCUGGUGUUAGAGGCGGACGGGUGAGUAACACGUGGAUACCAUACCUAUAAGACUGGGAUAUCUUCGGGCAACCGGAGCUCUUACCGGAUAAUAUCUUGAACCGCAUGGUUCAAAAGUGAAAGACGGACUUGCUGUUACUUAUAGAUGGCUCCGCGCUGCAUUAGCUAGUUGGUAAGGUAACGGCUUACCAAGGCAACGAUGCAUAGCCGACCUGAGUUGAUGGUCGUCCACACUGCAACGGUAAUGCGAUCCAGACUCCAACGGGAGGCAGCAGUGGGGAAUCUAACACAAGUGGCUGAAGCCGGACGUGACAACGCCGCGUGAGGGAUAAAAGUAUUCUGAUAGUAAUACUAUGAUACUAGGGAACAAGAUAUGUGUAAGUAACGUGUCACAUCUUGACGGUACCUAAUCAGAAAGCCACGGCUAACUACGUG